rnacentral:rRNA from 1 species
UGGGGAAUAUUGCACAAUGGGCGAAAGCCUGAUGCAGCGACGCCGCGUGAGGGAUGACGGCCUUCGGGUUGUAAACCUCUUUCAGCAGGGACGAAGCGCAAGUGACGGUACCUGCAGAAGAAGCACCGGCUAACUACGUGCCAGCAGCCGCGGUAAUACGUAGGGUGCAAGCGUUGUCCGGAAUUACUGGGCGUAAAGAGUUCGUAGGCGGUUUGUCGCGUCGUUUGUGAAAACCAGCAGCUCAACUGCUGGCUUGCAGGCGAUACGGGCAGACUUGAGUACUGCAGGGGAGACUGGAAUUCCUGGUGUAGCGGUGAAAUGCGCAGAUAUCAGGAGGAACACCGGUGGCGAAGGCGGGUCUCUGGGCAGUAACUGACGCUGAGGAACGAAAGCGUGGGUAGCGAACAGGAUUAGAUACCCUGGUAGUCCACGCCGUAAACGGUGGGCGCUAGGUGUGGGUUCCUUCCACGGAAUCCGUGCCGUAGCUAACGCAUUAAGCGCCCCGCCUGGGGAGUACGGCCGCAAGGCUAAAACUCAAAUGAAUUGACGGGGUCAUAGCUGUUU